CCUACGGGUGGCAGCAGUGGGGAAUAUUGGGCAAUGGAGGAAACUCUGACCCAGCAACGCCGCGUGAAUGAUGAAGGUCUUCGGAUUGUAAAGUUCUUUUCUAAGGGAAGAAGAAAGUGACGGUACCUUAGGAAUAAGCCUCGGCUAACUACGUGCCAGCAGCCGCGGUAAUACGUAGGAGGCAAGCGUUAUCCGGAAUGACUGGGCGUAAAGGGUGCGUAGGUGGUUUGACAAGUUGGUAGCGUAACUCCGGGGCUCAACCCCGUCGUGCCGUUGAAACUGAUGUUCUUGAGUGGGCGAGAAGUAUGCGGAAUGCGUGGUGUAGCGGUGAAAUGCAUAGAUAUCACGCAGAACUCCGAUUGCGAAGGCAGCAUACCGGCGCCCAACUGACGCUGAAGCACGAAAGCGUGGGUAUCGAACAGGAUUAGAUACCCUUGUAGUC
rnacentral:rRNA from 1 species